GUUUCCAUAGUACAACGGAUAGUACAAGGGUCUUCUAAACCUUAAAUCUUGGUUCGAUUCCAGGUGGGAACACCA
rnacentral:tRNA from 1 species